rnacentral:rRNA from 1 species
CAUAGGUUUGGUCCCAGCCUUCCUGUUAACUCUUAAUAAACUUACACAUGCAAGCAUCUACACCCCAGUGAGAAUGCCCUCUAGGUUAUUAAAACUAAGAGGAGUGGCAUCAAGCACACACCCUGUAGCUCACGACGCCUUGCCUAACCACACCCCCACGGGAAACAGCAGUGCAAAAAUUAAGCCAUAAACGAAAGUUUGACUAAGUUAUAUUAAUUAGGGUUGGUAAAUCUCGUGCCAGCCACCGCGGUCAUACGAUUAACCCAAGCUAACAGGAGUACGGCGUAAAACGUGUUAAAGCACCAUACCAAAUAGGGUUAAAUUCUAACUAAGCUGUAAAAAGCCAUGAUUAAAAUAAAAAUAAAUGACGAAAGUGACCCUACAAUAGCCGACGCACUAUAGCUAAGACCCAAACUGGGAUUAGAUACCCCACUAUGCUUAGCCCUAAACACAGAUAAUUACAUAAACAAAAUUAUUCGCCAGAGUACUACUAGCAACAGCUUAAAACUCAAAGGACUUGGCGGUGCUUUAUAUCCUUCUAGAGGAGCCUGUUCUAUAAUAAUCACUAGU